rnacentral:rRNA from 1 species
AGCGGGAUCCUGAGUACGGCGAGACACGAGGAAUCUUGUCGGAAGCAGGCGGGACCAUCCGCCAAGGCUAAAUAUAAACGAGUGAGCGAUAGUGAACCAGUACCGUGAGGGAAAGGUGAAAAGAACCGCGGGAGCGGAGUGAAAGAGAACCUGAAACCGUAUGCCUACAAGAAGUCAGAGCCCGUUAAAGGGUGAUGGCGUGCCUUUUGUAGAAUGAACCGGCGAGUUACGGAAAGAUGCGAGGUUAAGUCGGAAAGGACGGAGCCGCAGCGAAAGCGAGUCUGAAGAGGGCGAGAGUAGACUUCCGUAGACCCGAAACCGGGUGAUCUAGCCAUGAGCAGGUUGAAGUUGAGGUGAAACUCAAUGGAGGACCGAACCGACCACCGUUGAAAAGUUGGCGGAUGACUUGUGGCUAGCGGAGAAAUUCCAAUCGAACCCGGAGAUAGCUGGUUCUCCCCGAAAUAGCUUUAGGGCUAGCGUCGGAAUGAACCCAUGUGAAGGUAGAGCACUGAAUGUGUGAUGGCCCCAUCCCGGGGUACUGAAUACAAUCAAACUCCGAAUGUCAUGUGGGAUGUCCGGCAGUCAGACUGUGAGUGAUAAGGUCCAUGGUCGAGAGGGAAACAGCCCAGACCGCCAGUUAAGGUCCCAAAAUGCAGGCUAAGUGGAAAAGGAUGUGGGGAUGCCCAGACAACUAGGAGGUUGGCUCAGAAGCAGCCACCCUUUAAAGAGUGCGUAACAGCUCACUAGUCGAGUGACCCUGCGCCGAAAAUGUACCGGGGCUAAGCCUGAUACCGAAACUGCGGAAUCGAAUGAUUGGUAGGGGAGCGUUGUAUA